UAGGAUAUGGUAAUGCUAAAA
rnacentral:miRNA from 2 species